rnacentral:tRNA from 3 species
CGGGGAGUGGCGCAGCCUGGUAGCGCACCUGCUUCGGGAGCAGGGGGUCGCAGGUUCGAAUCCUGUCUCCCCGACCA